UUUAUUGAGAGUUUGAUCCUGGCUCAGGACGAACGCUGGCGGCAUGCUUAACACAUGCAAGUCGAACGGAGCACCCCUGAACGAGGUUUCGGCCGAAGUGACGGGAAUGCUUAGUGGCGGACGGGUGAGUAACGCGUGAGCAACCUGCCUUGAAGUGGGGGACAACAGUUGGAAACGACUGCUAAUACCGCAUAAUAUAUCUGAGUCGCAUGGCUUGGAUAUCAAAGAUUUAUCGCUUCAAGAUGGGCUCGCGUCUGAUUAGGUAGUUGGCGGGGUAACGGCCCACCAAGCCGACGAUCAGUAGCCGGACUGAGAGGUUGAACGGCCACAUUGGGACUGAGAUACGGCCCAGACUCCUACGGGAGGCAGCAGUGGGGAAUAUUGGGCAAUGG
rnacentral:rRNA from 1 species